rnacentral:rRNA from 1 species
GUGGGGAAUAUUGGACAAUGGGCGAAAGCCUGAUCCAGCCAUGCCGCGUGUGUGAAGAAGGUCUUCGGAUUGUAAAGCACUUUAAGUUGGGAGGAAGGGCAGUAAGUUAAUACCUUGCUGUUUUGACGUUACCAACAGAAUAAGCACCGGCUAACUACGUGCCAGCAGCCGCGGUAAUACGUAGGGUGCAAGCGUUAAUCGGAAUUACUGGGCGUAAAGCGCGCGUAGGUGGUUUUGUAAGUUGGAGGUGAAAUCCCCGGGCUCAACCUGGGAACUGCCUCCAAAACUGCAUGACUAGAGUACGGUAGAGGGUAGUGGAAUUUCCUGUGUAGCGGUGAAAUGCGUAGAUAUAGGAAGGAACACCAGUGGCGAAGGCGACUACCUGGACUGAUACUGACACUGAGGUGCGAAAGCGUGGGGAGCAAACAGGAUUAGAUACCCCGGUAGUCC